rnacentral:rRNA from 1 species
GAUGAACGCUGGCGGCGUGCUUAACGCAUGCAAGUCGAACGGAAAGGCUCCUGCUUGCAGGGGUACUCGAGUGGCGAACGGGUGAGUAACACGUGGGUGAUCUGCCCAGCACUUCGGGAUAAGCCUGGGAAACUGGGUCUAAUACCGGAUAGGACGAUGGUUUGGAUGCCAUUGUGGAAAGUUUUUUCGGUGUGGGAUGAGCUCGCGGCCUAUCAGCUUGUUGGUGGGGUAAUGGCCUACCAAGGCGUCGACGGGUAGCCGGCCUGAGAGGGUGUACGGCCACAUUGGGACUGAGAUACGGCCCAGACUCCUACGGGAGGCAGCAGUGGGGAAUAUUGCACAAUGGGCGCAAGCCUGAUGCAGCGACGCCGCGUGGGGGAUGACGGCCUUCGGGUUGUAAACUCCUUUCGCUAGGGACGAAGCGCAAGUGACGGUACCUGGAGAAGAAGCACCGGCUAACUACGUG